rnacentral:rRNA from 1 species
UACAGAGGUCUCAAGCGUUGUUCGGAUUCAUUGGGCGUAAAGAGCGUGUAGGCGGUCCGGUAAGUCGGCUGUGAAAGUCCAGGGCUCAACCCUGGGAUGCCGGUCGAUACUGCCGGACUAGAGUUCGGAAGAGGCGAGUGGAAUUCCCGGUGUAGCGGUGAAAUGCGCAGAUAUCGGGGAGGAACACCCAGGGGGAAACCAGUCGACUGGGCAUCUACUGACGCUGAGGUGCGAGAGCGUGGGGAGCGAACCGG